rnacentral:lncRNA from 1 species
CAACUACUUAUUGUAAAAUGCUAUGUUAAAGAGUUAUAACAGCUAUAUUUUUUGAAAUUCAAGGUUUAUAGUAGGGGGUGCUAUAUACCGCAGGGGUGUCAAAAUACCAUGGGUAAGUAAAAUUUUCAAAACAUCUUUUCAAGCAAGUAAAAUACAUACAAACUAUUUAUUGGAAUAUAGUUACUAUCAUGACUAUGCUAAAGAUUUAGAACAGUUUGAUUUUUUGAAAUCCAAGGUCUGUAGUAGGGGAUUCAAUAUACCAUGGUAGGAGGUCAAAGAGCAAUGGCAAAGUUCAAAAUAUCUUUUCCAUCAUGUUAGAUACAUACAAACUACUUAUUUGAGUAUUAUUACUAUGUUGAGGAGUAAGUAUAGCUAGAUUUUUUUUUAAUGAGAGGUCUACAGUAUAGGGUCUAAUAUGCCAAAGGGGUCAAAAUACCAUGGCAAAGUAAAAUUUUCAAAAUAUCUUUUCCAUCAUGUUAAAUACAUACAAAUACUUGUUGGAGUAUUGUUACUAUGUUAAGGAGUUAGUAUAGCUAGAUUUUUUGAAAUGAGAGGUCUAUAGUAGGGGAUUCAAUGUAAUGCAGGGGGUCAAAAUACCAUGGCUAAGUAACCUUUUGAAACAUUGUUUCAAGCAAAAAAAAAUACAUACAAACUACUUAUUGUAACAUAAUUACUAUAUCAGAGUUAUAACAGCUAGAUUUUUUGAAAUCCAAGGUCUGUGGGAGGGGGUUUGAUAUACCACAGGGGGUCAAAAUACCAUGGCUAAGUAAAAUUUUCAAAACAUCUUUUCAAGCAAGUAAAAUACAUACAAACUACUUUUUGGAAUAUAAUUACUAUGUUUUUUAAAUCCAAGGUCUGUGGGAGGGGGUUUAAUAUACCAUGGUAGAGGGGUCAAAAUACCAUGGCAAAGUAAAAUGUUCAAAACAUCUUUUCCAUCAUGUUGAAUACAUACAAACCACUUAUUUGAAUAUUAUUACUAUAAUAAAAAGUUAGUAUAGCUAGAAAUUUUGAAAUGAGAGGUCUAUAGUAAGGGAUUCAAUGUAACGCAGAGGGGUCAAAAUACAAUGGCUAAGUAAAACUUUUGAAAACAUCUUUUCAAGCAAGUACAUACUAACUACUUACUGGGAAAUAAUUACUAUCAUGACUUGUUAAAGAGAUUUUCCAUGGUAAAAAAGGGGGAUGGGGUCAAAAUACAAUGGCAAAGUAAAAUUUUCAAAAUAUCUUUUCCAUCAUGUUAAAUACAUUCAAACUACUUAUUGGAGUAUUUUUACUAUGUUAAGAUGUUAGUUUUACUAGAAUUUUUGAAAUGAGUGGUCUAUAGUCCGGUAGAAGGUGGGGGUUCAAUACACUGCAGUGGGGUCAAAAUACAAUGGCAAAGUAAAAUUUUCAAAACAUCUUUUCCAUCAUGUUAAAUACAAAAUACAUACAAACUACUUAUUUAUAAGUAGAGUAUUAUUAAUAUAAUAAAGAGGGUUUUUUUUCUACUAUAAUAAGGAGUUGGUUUACAGGUAGCUAGAAAUUUUGAAAUGGGAGGUCUAUAGUAAGGGAUUCAAUGUUACACAGAGGGGUCAAAAUACCAUGGCUAAGUAAACUUUUGAAAACAUCUUUUCAAGCAAUUAAAAUACAUACAAACUACUUAUUGGAAUAUAAACACUAUGUUAAAGAGUUGUAACAGCUAGAUUUUUUGAAAUCCAAGGUCUAUAGUAGGGGGUUCAACAGACCAUGGGAGGGGGGUUAAAAUACCAUGGCAGAGUAAAAUUUUUAAAAUACCUUUUUUAAAGGCUGUAGAUUUUCUAUAAAAAUUUUGGUUUAUUUGCAAAAAGUACUUUUUUUAUAAAAUGCAAUAAAACAGUAAAUAAUAAUGCUUUGCAUCAAGUUCCCCCCUGGUAUAUGUACAAAACCGCACAUCUCUAUUAUUCAAUAUAUUUGUAGUUUUAUUGGAGUAUUAUUACUAUGUUAAGGAGUUCUAUAAAAAAAAAAAAGGGGGGGGGGGUAAAGAUACCAUGGCUAAGUAAAAUUUUCAAAACAUCUUUUCAAGCAAGUAAAAUGCAUACAAACUACUUAUUGGAAUAUAAUUACUAUGUUGAGGGUUUAGUAUAGCUAGAAUUUUUGAAAUGAGAGGUCUAUAGUAGGGAUUCAAUAUACCCCAGGGGUCAAAAUACCAUGGCUAAGUUUAAUUUUCAAAACAUCUUUUCAAGCAAGUAAAAUAUAUACAAACUGCUUAUUGGAAUAUAAUUACUAUGUUCAAGAGUUAUAAGGGCUAGAUUUUUUUAUAUAACAGGUCUAUAGUGGGGGGUUCAAUAUACCGAAGGGGCGGGGAUCCAAAUACCAUGGCUAAGUAAAAUUUUUAAAAUAUCUUUUCCAUCAUGUUAAAUACAUACAAUCUGCUUAUUGGAGUAUUGUUACUAUGUAAAGGAGUUAGAGAAGCUAGAAUUUUUUUAAUGAGAGAUAUAUUAUUGGGGGUUCAAUAUACUGCAGAGGUACAUUUAGGUGGUUUUGAUGUAUUCAGGAUAAUGCAUACAUAGGAAUUGUAUGAUGUUGAAUUAUAUAUGCAUUGUAAUAAUAAUGAUUUAUUGAAUUUGUUAUUAUUUAUAAUAUAACCCAGGCAAACUAAGAUUAUGCGAGUUGUUCAUAUUUGGCUCGAGUAUGUAAUUUAAACCACCUUUUUGAUUUUUUGAUAGGCAGUGGAAAAGUAUAUUUUGUUUGUGGUGUAGAUUAAAUAACUUGAGCUUAAAUGGAAAAAAUGCAAAUAAGUGGGCUGAUAGAAUGCGUAUUAAUCAUUACUGUUAAAAGCCGGAACUUUUUAGUAAGGAACUCCUUUUCUGGACUGAAUUUAGGUCAAAUACAUGGGGAAAAAAAUUAUUAUGUUGCUGACAUUUUUAAUGUACAUUUUAAUACUUUAGAUGAUAUUCAGACAACCAAAAGAUAGCGUUUUUAUUCUCAUAUGUAAAUAUGAUACAUGUGUGUUCCGAAAUCUGUUGUUUGAUUUUAAAAAGGUUUAGAAAUUUUAUAUAUUGUAGUAAAUAGUAUCAUCAGUUGCGGAUCCAGAAAUUUUCAUAAGUAGGGGCCCACUGACUGACCUAAGAGGGGGCCCGCUCCAGUCACGCUUCAGUGAUUCCCUAUAUAAGCAACCAA